GGCACCACAAGAACGCGUGGAGCAUGUGGCUUAAUUUGACUCAACGCGGGAAAUCUUACCGGGUCCGGACACACUGAGGAUUGACAGGCAAUAUAUGUGACUCUUCGGAGUUUGCAUUGUUAAAUAUGCUAGUCCUUUCAUGAUUAUGUGAUAGGUGGUGCAUGGCCGUUCUUAGUUCGUGGAGUGAUCUGUCUGCUUAAUUGCGUUUCAAAUUACUUAUAAGGUAGCAAUACGCGAUGAAGCUUUCAAUAGUCUCUCACGAGAUUCACUUGAGUCUCUCGCUUCGCUAUCCUUUCGAAUGCAACGAACGUGACCGCAACCUCUUGUUGCCUUCGUUUAACAUCCUGCAGCUCGCUGUGGGUACUGAGGGCUUCACUCGGUGACUUUGGGCUGAGCAAUCGGUCUCUUUUGAUCUGAGUAAACUAGAGGGACCGCUGUCAACUUCUUAAACCAGAGGAAGGUUGCGGCAAUAACAGGUCUGUGAUGCCCUUAGAUGUUCCGGGCUGCACACGUGCUACAAUGAUCGUAGCAGUGAGCAUCUUAUUUGAUUUACUUAACACCGCAUACGUGAGUACCAACUAGCUUAGCAAUAAGUCAAGUAGUUCUCUACGCAGCGGUAACAGCCUGCUUCGAGAGCAAGUGGGUAAUCAAUUAGAAGUAACGAUUUCUUCGCAUUAGCACACUUAAUAUAAGGCGUUGACGCUCAUGAUUCGCUCUCACGAGUGUUUCAUUGCACGUGUUGAUGUGCGGGUUCGAUUCCUGCUUUACCUUAUGUGCAAUUGUCAAUUCAUGGUGGGGACAGAC
rnacentral:rRNA from 1 species